rnacentral:rRNA from 1 species
GUGCCAGCAGCCGCGGUAAUACGGAGGGUGCGAGCGUUAAUCGGAAUUACUGGGCGUAAAGACGCAUGCAGGUGGUUUGUUAAGUCAGAUGUGAAAGACCCGGGGCGUCAACCUCGGAAUAGCAUUUGAAACUGGCAGACUAGAGUACUGUAGAGGGGGGUAGGAAUUUCAGGUGUAGCGGUGAAAUGCGUAGAGAUCUGAAGGAAUACCGGUGGCGAAGGCGGCCCCCUCGGACAGAUACUGACACUCAGAUGCGAAAGCGUGGGGAGCAAACAGGAUUAGAUACCCCUGGUAG